AAAGGUAGAGACCAGACAGUUACACGUGAGUCACCGGCGUGUAAAGGUUAUACGCUGGCUGAGUGGUGGAAGUUCUUGAGAGACGAUCCUUUAAAUCAGACUCCUGAUACAUAACAGUGACUGAUCGUGACUUAAGGAAACAAAAACCAUACACGUUGCUCUAUUCUGGAGGAAAUCCCUUGCAGAAAGUCCAUGAUAUUAUAGGAUUUAGUGGAAAGAGUGGACACCCGCAAGUGUGUUCGCGUAUCAGACGGCGUGAGUCAGUCUUGUUUACGGGUGCAGGAAGUUCGUGGAGGGAGUUCCCCCGUUGGAAGUCGCCAAAGAUAAGAUUAUCGCUGUCUCUCGGCAAGGACCUCCAACCGGCCUGUCAUGGGCAACGUGCGGGCGGGCGUGGGCGUCGCGGCAGUGCUCCUGUGGGCGGCAGUGGGCGUGCAGGGUCAUGGCAGACUGAUUGAACCGCCAUCCAGAUCUUCUGCUUGGA